UGCCUACGGGGCGCAGCAGUGGGGAAUAUUGCGCAAUGGGGGAAACCCUGACGCAGCAACGCCGCGUGAGUGAGGAAGUAUCUCGGUAUGUAAAGCUCUAUCAGCGGGGAAGAAAGAGGACGGUACCCGACUAAGAAGCCCCGGCUAACUACGUGCCAGCAGCCGCGGUAAUACGUAGGGGGCGAGCGUUAUCCGGAUUUACUGGGUGUAAAGGGAGCGUAGACGGCGUCGCAAGUCUGAAGUGAAAGCCCGUGGCUCAACCGCGGAACCGCUUUGGAAACUGCGAGGCUGGAGUGCUGGAGAGG
rnacentral:rRNA from 1 species